rnacentral:rRNA from 1 species
GAUGAACGCUGGCUACAGGCUUAACACAUGCAAGUCGAGGGGAAACGACGGGGAAGCUUGCUUCCCCGGGCGUCGACCGGCGCACGGGUGAGUAACGCGUAUCCAACCUGCCUCUGACUGAGGGAUAACCCGUCGAAAGUCGGCCUAAUACCUCAUGGUAUCGUCUGCGGGCAUCCAACGACGAUUAAAGAUUUCAUCGGUCAGGGAUGGGGAUGCGUCUGAUUAGCUUGUUGGCGGGGUAACGGCCCACCAAGGCUACGAUCAGUAGGGGUUCUGAGAGGAAGGUCCACCAGAUUGGAACUGAGACACAGUCCAAACUCCUACGGGAGGGAGCAGUAAGGAAUAUAGGUCACUGGGCGAGAGCCUGAACCAGCCAAGUAGCGUGCAGGAAGACGGCGCUAUGGGUUGUAAACUGCUUUUAGGCGGGGAUAAAGUGAGGGACGUGUCCCUCAUUGCAGGUACCGCAUGAAUAAGGACCGGCUAAUUACGUG